rnacentral:rRNA from 1 species
UACGUAGGGUGCAAGCGUUGUCCGGAAUUAUUGGGCGUAAAGAGCUCGUAGGCGGCUUGUCGCGUCGACUGUGAAAACCCGCGGCUCAACUGCGGGCCUGCAGUUGAUACGGGCAGGCUAGAGUUCGGUAGGGGAGACUGGAAUUCCUGGUGUAGCGGUGAAAUGCGCAGAUAUCAGGAGGAACACCGGUGGCGAAGGCGGGUCUCUGGGCCGAUACUGACGCUGAGGAGCGAAAGCGUGGGGAGCGAACAGGAUUAGAACUACCGUGGUCA